rnacentral:rRNA from 1 species
GAUGAACGCUGACAGAAUGCUUAACACAUGCAAGUCGACUGUGGCGGCCGGGUGAGUAACGCGUAAAGAACUUGCCUCACAGAUAGGGACAACAUUUGGAAACGAAUGCUAAUACCUGAUACUGUGAAAGAGCUUUGCGUCCCAUUAGCUAGUUGGAGAGGUAACGGCUCACAAAGGCGAUGAUGGGUAGCCGGCCUGUGAGGGUGAUCGUCCACAAGGGGACUGAGAGACGGCCCAUACUCCUACGGGAGGGAGCAGUGGGGAAUAUUUGGCAAAGGACCAAAGUCUGAUCCAGCAAUUCAGUGUGCACGAUGAAGUUUUCGGAAAGAAAAGGGAUUUCAGUAGGGAAGCGGUACCAACAGAAGAAGUGACGGCUAAAUACGUGCCAGCAGCCGCGGUAAUUC